CCUCCAAAGGAGUCCCUUUCUCCGCCCUUGCCCUCUUUUAGAAUCGUAGAAUAAACAAGGUUGGAGAGGGACCUGGGAGGGAGCUGAAAUGUAGUGAUUUUAUUUUAUUUUAUUUUGAUUUAUUUUUAUAUGCCGCCCUUCUCCGGAGCUCAGGGCGGCUUACAAUGCGUUAAGCAAUAGCCUUCAUACUUUUGUAUAUUUUUAUACAAAGCUUAUUGCCCCCACAAACUGGGUCCUCAUGAUAUGCUACCAUCAUGUGUGGAGAUGCUAUCAUCGUGAUCUGUUACCAGCGUGACAGCGUGCUGCUGUUUAUUAUCUACUGCUGUUUUUGUAUGCACCAGCAAAUCAAUGUCACAACCUACAACAACAGAUCAGCUUCCCCAGAACUACCUUCACGAGAAGCCUUGUGACGUCCCCGGGAUUCCUGUCAAACUGGAUCGGGAGCAAAGCCCAAACAGGAAAGAAUGGUUGAAAAGUGCACUAUUUGCAUGGAGAAUCCACCCUCAAGCUGGAAGUAAGGUCAACCUGCUACACAACUGAAGCACUUUCUAGGGAUUUCUCCCACCCCAAAAUGGGCUAAGCUAUGAUUUGAUGGCAUUUGGAAGGUGGAUGCAUCUUACACAGUGGUGGGUUUCAAAUUUUUUUUAUUACCGGUUCUGUGGGCGUGGCUUGGGUGUGGUGUGGCUUGGUGGGCGUGGCAGGGGAAGGUUACUGCAAAAUCCCCAUUUCCACCUGGUCAGCUGGGACUUGGGAGGCAGAGAAUAGAUUGGGGCGGGGCCAGUCAGAAUUUUUA